AUUGACGGGGACCCGCACAAGCGGUGGAGCAUGUGGUUUAAUUCGAAGCAACGCGAAGAACCUUACCAACUCUUGACAUCCCCCUGACCGGUACAGAGAUGUAUCUUCCCCUUCGGGGGCAGGGGUGACAGGUGGUGCAUGGUUGUCGUCAGCUCGUGUCGUGAGAUGUUGGGUUAAGUCCCGCAACGAGCGCAACCCUUGUCCUUAGUUGCCAGCAUUUGGUUGGGCACUCUAAGGAGACUGCCGGUGACAAACCGGAGGAAGGUGGGGAUGACGUCAAAUCAUCAUGCCCCUUAUGAGUUGGGCUACACACGUGCUACAAUGGACGGUACAAAGGGCGGCGAAGCCGCGAGGUGGAGCCAAUCCUAGAAAGCCGUUCUCAGUUCGGAUUGCAGGCUGCAACUCGCCUGCAUGAAGUCGGAAUCGCUAGUAAUCGCAGGUCAGCAUACUGCGGUGAAUACGUUCCCGGGUCUUGUACACACCGCCCGUCACACCACGAGAGUUUGCAACACCCGAAGUCGGUGAGUAACNAAAAGAGC
rnacentral:rRNA from 1 species